GGGGAUUUAGCUCAGUGGUAGCGUGUUUGCCUAGCAAGCACAAGGCCCUGGGUUCGGUCCCCAGCUCCA
rnacentral:tRNA from 1 species